UGAGGUAGGAGGUUGUAUAGUUGA
rnacentral:ncRNA from 4 species